rnacentral:rRNA from 1 species
AUGUCUUAUCUUCUUCUGUUGAUUUCGUGCCGCUCCUCCUUUUGUUGUGGUGUUCUUCGAGCCCUGUGCCUCCCUUCUUCACACAACGAGAUUCAUAAUUUCAUUGGGCUUUGGGAUGAGUAUAUCAAUCCUAUGAUGCACAAACGAAUUAAUUUCGAAGAGUUUGAUGUCUUGUACCCAGCUGUUCCUAAGCAAGAGAAUCGGCAUGAUUGUGGUGUCUUCGCUCUGAAGUAUAUGGAGAUCUUCACACCAAGAACUCAGAUGGCAAAUCUUUUCUCCAAUAUAGACAUUCCAAAUCUUAGGAUCAAAUAUGUGAAUGAUAUGUUUUUCAGCCCCUUGAACAACUGCGAGAAAUCUUUUGUCACUGAUUUCUUUGGCGAUGCAUGUUCUUAUUUUCCUUGUCCUCUAGUUCAUUUUUGUUUUGUUUUCUUCUUUUUACCUUCUAUUUUCUUUACCUAUUAUGGCCUCUUUAAUUUUUUUGUGUAG